rnacentral:rRNA from 1 species
CCUACGGGUGGCAGCAGUGGGGGAUAUUGCACAAUGGGGGAAACCCUGAUGCAGCGACGCCGCGUGGGUGAAGAAGCGCCUCGGCGCGUAAAGCCCUGUCAGCAGGGAAGAAAAUGACGGUACCUGAAGAAGAAGCCCCGGCUAACUACGUGCCAGCAGCCGCGGUAAUACGUAGGGGGCAAGCGUUAUCCGGAUUUACUGGGGGUAAAGGGGGCGCAGACGGCGAUGCAAGCCAGGAGUGAAAGCCCGGGGUCCAACCCCGGGACUGCUCUUGGAACUGCGUGGCUAGAGUGCGGGAGGGGCAGGCGGAAUGCCUGGUGUAGCGGUGAAAUGCGUAGAUAUCAGGAAGAACACCGAUGGCGAAGGCGGCCUACUGGACUGAAACUGACGUUGAGGCACGAAAGCGUGGGGAGCAAACAGGAUUAGAUACCCCAGUAGUC